rnacentral:rRNA from 1 species
UACGGGAGGCAGCAGUGGGGAAUAUUGCACAAUGGGCGCAAGCCUGAUGCAGCCAUGCCGCGUGUAUGAAGAAGGCCUUCGGGUUGUAAAGUACUUUCAGUCGUGAGGAAGGUGUUAAGGUUAAUAACCUUAGCAAUUGACGUUAGCGACAGAAGAAGCACCGGCUAACUCCGUGCCAGCAGCCGCAGUAAUACGGAGGGUGCGAGCGUUAAUCGGAAUUACUGGGCGUAAAGGGCACGCAGGCGGUUAAUUAAGUUGGAUGUGAAAUCCCCGGGCUUAACCUGGGAAUGGCAUUCAAGACUGGUUAGCUAGAGUCUUGUAGAGGGGGUAGAAUUCCAUGUGUAGCGGUGAAAUGCGUAGAGAUGUGGAGGAAUACCGGUGGCGAAGGCGGCCCCUGGGACAAAGGACUGACGCUCGAUGUGCGAAAGCGUGGGGAGCAAACAGGAUUGGAAACC